rnacentral:rRNA from 1 species
UACAGAGGAUGCAAGCGUUAUCCGGAAUGAUUGGGCGUAAAGCGUCUGUAGGUGGCUUUUUAAGUCCGCCGUCAAAUCCCAGGGCUCAACUCUGGACAGGCGGUGGAAACUACCAAGCUGGAGUACGGUAGGGGCAGAGGGAAUUUCCGGUGGAGCGGUGAAAUGCGUAGAGAUGUGGAGGAAUACCGAUGGCGAAGGCAGCCUCCUGGGCCAACACUGACGCUCAUGCACGAAAGCGUGGGGAGCAAACAGG